GGCCAGACUCCUACGGGAGGCAGCAGUGGGGGAUAUUGCACAAUGGGGGGAACCCUGAUGCAGCGACGCCACGUGGGUGAAGAAGUAUUUCGGUAUGUAAAGCCCUAUCGGCAGGGAAGAAAUUGGACGGUACCUGACUAAGAAGCCCUGGCUAACUACGUGCCAGCAGCCGCGGUAAUACGUAGGGGGCAAGCGUUAUCCGGAUUCACUGGGUGUAAAGGGAGCGUAGACGGCGACGCAAGUCUGGAGUGAAAGCCCGGGGCCCAACCCCGGGACUGCUCUGGAAACUGCGUCGCUGGAGUACGGGAGGGGCAGGCGGAAUUCCUGGUGUAGCGGUGAAAUGCGUAGAUAUUAGGAGGAACACCAGUGGCGAAGGCGGCCUGCUGGACAGUAACUGACGUUGAGGCUCGAAAGCGUGGGGAGCAAACAGGAUUAGAUACCCCAGUA
rnacentral:rRNA from 1 species